rnacentral:lncRNA from 10 species
CUGUGGUUUGCGACCAGGGAAUCACGGAUUUCAGUGAAAGGGUCUGAGACCACAGCCAUAAGCUGUGAAAGCCAAGAGGACAGCUAAGGACUAAGGAAUUGACACUAAGCCCGAAUCUGGCAGAAGAGUCAAGCCCCAAAUCGUGACAUGCACACAGAAAAAAUAUGUGGGCCACUGGCUUAGGAAGACUGCGUUUUCAGGGGAAAUGACCCAUGGGUGAGCGCUGUGGCACAGACUUAAAAGACUAUGACACUUUCUUUUGGCCUCCAUCAUUUCUGAUAAGAAAUUCACUGUCUUUCAAAUUAUUUGCUCUCACAGAUGCUGAGGAUAAAAAGGACAAAAUACACACCUCUUGCUCUCAAAAGAUCAGG